CUGAUCCAGCAAUGCCGCGUGAGUGAAGAAGGCCUUCGGGUUGUAAAGCUCUUUUGUCAGGGAAGAAACGGUGGGGGCGAAUAACUUCUACUAAUGACGGUACCUGAAGAAUAAGCACCGGCUAACUACGUGCCAGCAGCCGCGGUAAU
rnacentral:rRNA from 1 species